UACGUAGGGUGCGAGCGUUGUCCGGAAUUAUUGGGCGUAAAGGGCUCGUAGGCGGUUUGUCGCGUCGGGAGUGAAAACUCAGGGCUUAACCCUGAGCCUGCUCCCGAUACGGGCAGACUAGAGGUAUUCAGGGGAGAACGGAAUUCCUGGUGUAGCGGUGGAAUGCGCAGAUAUCAGGAGGAACACCGGUGGCGAAGGCGGCUUGCUGGGCCUUACCUGACGCUGAGGAGCGAAAGCGUGGGGAGCGAACAGG
rnacentral:rRNA from 1 species